UCCGUUGUAGCAAUACGAUGGAAAGUCUAGUGGCGAACGGGUGCUUAACACGUGGGCAACCUGCCAUGAAGUGGGGGAUAGCUCGCCGAAAGGCGAAUUAAUACCGCAUGUGAUUAGAGAGGACAUCCUUUCAAAAUUAAAGUCGGGGCAACCUGACGCUUCUUGUGGGGCCCGCGGCCUAUCAGCUAGUUGGUGAGGUAACGGCUCACCAAGGCUUUGACGGGUAGCUGGUCUGAGAGGACGACCAGCCACACUGGGACUGAGACACGGCCCAGACACCUACGGGUGGCAGCAGUCGAGAAUUUUUGACAAUGGGGGAAACCCUGAUCGAGCGACGCCGCGUGGAGGAUGAAGGUCUUCGGAUUGUAAACUCCUGUCAUUGGGGAACAAGGUGCGUACGUUAACUGCGUGUGCAUUGAUAGUACCCGAAGAGGAAGAGACGGCUAACUCUGUGCCAGCAGCCGCGGUAAUACAGAGGUCUCAAGCGUUGUUCGGAUUCAUUGGGCGUAAAGGGUGCGUAGGCGCGCGGUAAGUCGGUGUGAAAUCUCGGAGCUUAACUCCGAAACUGCAUUCGAUACUGCCGUGCUUGAGGACUGGA
rnacentral:rRNA from 1 species